rnacentral:tRNA from 1 species
GUCCCCUUCGUCUAGAGGUUAGACUCGCCCUUUCACGGCGGCAACAGGGGUUCAAAUCCCCUAGGGGACG